GAUGAACGCUAGCUACAGGCUUAACACAUGCAAGUCGAGGGGAAACGAUAUUUGAAGCUUGCUUCCGAUAGGCGUCGACCGGCGCACGGGUGAGUAACGCGUAUCCAACCUGCCCACCACUUGGGGAUAACCGUGCGAAAGUAAGACUAAUACCCAAUGAUAUCUCUAGAAGACAUCUGAAAGGGAUUAAAGAUUUAUCGGGGAUGGAUGGGGAUGCGUCUGAUUAGCUUGUUGGCGGGGUAACGGCCCACCAAGGCUACGAUCAGUAGGGGUUCUGAGAGGAAGGUCCCCCACAUUGGAACUGAGACACGGUCCAAACUCCUACGGGAGGCAGCAGUGAGGAAUAUUGGUCAAUGGGCGAGAGCCUGAACCAGCCAAGUAGCGUGCAGGAUGACGGCCCUAUGGGUUGUAAACUGCUUUUAUAAGGGAAUAAAGUGAGUCUCGUGAGACUUUUUGCAUGUACCUUAUGAAUAAGGACCGGCUAAUUCCGUGCCAGCCGCCGCAGUAA
rnacentral:rRNA from 1 species